rnacentral:rRNA from 1 species
GCGGCGGACGGGUGAGUAACACGUGGGCAACCUGCCCUGCAGACUGGGAUAACUUCGGGAAACCGGAGCUAAUACCGGAUAACACCGAAAACCGCAUGGUUUUCGGUUGAAAGGCGGCUUUUACCUGUCACUGCAGGAUGGGCCCGCGGCGCAUUACCUAGUUGGGGAGGUAACGGCUCACCAAGGCGACAAUGCGUACCCAACCUGAGAGGGUGACCGGCCACACUGGGACUGAGACACGGCCCAGACUCCUACGGGAGGCAGCAGUAGGGAAUCUUCCGCAAUGGACGAAAGUCUGACGGAGCAACGCCGCGUGAGCGAAGAAGGUCUUCGGAUCGUAAAGCUCUGUUGUCAGGGAAGAACAAGUGCCGUUCGAACAGGGCGGUACCUUGACGGUACCUGACGAGGAAGCCACGGCUAACUACGUGCCAGCAGCCGCGGUAAUAC